ACGAACGCUGACGGCGUGCCUAAUACAUGCAAGUAGAACGCUGAAGAGAGGAGCUUGCUCUUCUUGGAUGAGUUGCGAACGGGUGAGUAACGCGUAGGUAACCUGCCUUGUAGCGGGGGAUAACUAUUGGAAACGAUAGCUAAUACCGCAUAACAAUGGAUGACACAUGUCAUUUAUUUGAAAGGGGCAAUUGCUCCACUACAAGAUGGACCUGCGUUGUAUUAGCUAGUAGGUGAGGUAACGGCUCACCUAGGCGACGAUACAUAGCCGACCUGAGAGGGUGAUCGGCCACACUGGGACUGAGACACGGCCCAGACUCCUACGGGAGGCAGCAGUAGGGAAUCUUCGGCAAUGGGGGCAACCCUGACCGAGCAACGCCGCGUGAGUGAAGAAGGUUUUCGGAUCGUAAAGCUCUGUUGUAAGUCAAGAACGAGUGUGAGAGUGGAAAGUUCACACUGUGACGGUAGCUUACCAGAAAGGGACGGCUAACUACGUG
rnacentral:rRNA from 1 species